GGCAGUGUGGUUUGGUGGAUAAGGCUCAGGGUUACUGAUCAGUAGGUUGGGGGUUCAAGCCCCAGCACUGCCA